GGAGUGGCCUUAGCUGGACUCUUCUUGUUAUAGCCAUGGACAGAACCAUGUUUCCUGUGACACAGAGACUGCAUCCAGGGGGAGGCAAUGCCUCAGAGCCAAGAGGGUUCAGUGUCGGUGCCCCUCGGCCCCAGGGGGUGAAAUUUAGCGGGGACAGGUGUCCCAAAGGAGAGACUGUGCCCUUUUUUGGGAUGGGACAAAGCAUCCUUAAAAGGACAACCCUAGAAGCAGCUCUGGUCCAUGUGCAGUGAUGAGAGCACUGGACAUGGAAGGAAGAUUUCACAAUGGCAGAUGUUCUCCGAGCGGUGCCACGAGUGACAUGGAAACCCAAGAGCACUGGAAAUCAUAGCUCCAGCAUGGAAACCUCAACAGAUGGGCAGAACUUCCCUUCUGAACUAUGGCAUCUUCAAGAAGGAUUCACACACUUAUCACUUGCUUCUCCUCCCAUUUCCUGCUCCAGCAGAAUGGAGAAGAGAAUUUAUGAAUACGCAAUGCUGAUCUAUUCUACACCAUUGCCGUCCCAGCAGAAACCUCUUUGACCCUGUCAAACUAGGUUGCAAGAUCAAAACCUGCUGUUGCUGCCCAAGAAAAUCCUAGCCCAGUGUAUUGAAGAACAGUUACUAGACCUACAGGGGUAGCAGCAGUCUCACCAAGAACUUUCACAAGCCUGACAACAGCAGCAGCCAGCUGCCAGAAGAAAACAGCAGGCAUUUUUCAUUCAUGCAGACCCAUUGAAAUGGGCCUUUUCUUUUGGCUUGUACAAGUCUCUGGACAUGUUAUUUGCUACAGAUAUUUUGCCAGAUCCAUUCCUGCAAUUUGACUCACUGAAAAAGGACGGUGUUUAUUUCUAUUAGGAAUGGUAGUGGCCAAAUUCUUACCACAGCUGGAUAUGGUAGGGUGGUCUUGUUGUUUCUUUCUGCUUCUCUACCCUUUAUGGUUUCAGUUAAGUCUGGAGAAAGUGUAAGGAAUAUUGGGAAAUAAUGGAAUACUUUUUCAGAGGUAAUCAUUAUGCAAGCCAGGACAGAAUAUAUCCUCUGAGAUCUUCAACUGGUGUAGCUUGUGCUCAUUUGAUUUAUAAAUUUGGCUCUGCAAGAGGAAAAUAGAUAGAUUUCAGGCUGUCUUAUUUAAUAGAAGCCCACUGACAACUUUGAGGGCUAUGUUGGUUUUGUUCUUUUCCAGUGCAAGGCCAGACCUAUAUUCUACAGAUAAAGGUUGACCUGCAAAACUCCUUUCCCUGUGAAGUCUGAGAUUUUUGUCUACAGAGGGUGGUACUUCAGACAAAAUGUCAUAGCAUAAUUUUAUCUAUCUUUGUGCUAUCAGUCUUGAAAUAAACUCUGUUACCAUAUAGGUUUAUUUCAGGAAAUAAAAUAAUGCAAAUGUUAAAAAAGACCUAGUGUGCUUGAAAGCUUAUGUAUUUUUCCAACUUUAUCAGUUGCUCUAGUAACAGACAUUAUCACUCUUUUUCCUCCACAAACCAUGCCUUGUUGUUUUCCUUACUUUCUUUACUGUUGAAAAUGUACGAAGAGCAGGAGAUGGUUUGAAGGGAGAUUAGGUAGCUAAAGUACUUCCUUCAUAUAGAUAUAUUUUUUAGCUGGGCCAAAUGGAUUCCACUGAUGCAGUAUGCCAUUUAACAUUUCUUUCUUUUGCUGUCUCUUAGUUGAUUCUUUUUCUGCUCUGCAAGUCUUAGUCUUCUUCAGAUAUGUGCCCUGACUGCUUUUAUACUAAUGUAGCCAUUAUUGCCACAAUACUCAGGGUAUUUGAGUUCCAAGGAGAAUACAGAUUUAUUGUAUAGCUUUGGUAGCUUUAUAACACAGUUAUGUUUGUUCCAAAUUUUUGGCUAGUCUUUACUGGGUUAAAUUAUCAUAUUCUCUGUCAAAACCAAGAGUCACCUAAAGAGACUUAAUUUGUGGCAGAAACAGUCAGAAGUAGUCAAAAAAAUCCAUCUGUAUAAAAAAUCUGUUUGUAAAACCAAGCCAUAAAUUCUCUUCAAGGGCCUCAAUGCUCUUUUCAGCUGCACCUACACAAAUGGUGUAGGCAAGUACAUCUUUGCUAUGUCUGCCCUUGCUGAUGGCAAGACACAAACCAGCUCUCUUCCAGGAACUGAAUAGUCUCAUUCAGCAUAUGUACAGCUCUGAGCUAAUGCAUUUAAAUGGUCCUGGCCUGCAGCCAGCAGUAGGCACACAAGUGAAGCAGACAUGACCGUCUGUACCUGUCUGUGCCUCCAAAAGUAGAGUCCUUAUCAUUGUUUCCAGCAUUCAUGGUAUUGGACACUUGCUAAAACCAUCAAAAUAUUCUCUUUGCUCUUGAUGUACCCAGCUGCAUGUCAAUUAAUCCAGCAAAGGAAAGCAGAACAAUGCCUGCAGCAAGCAGUUAUUUAUUUCCCAUGUCUUACUCUCCAUUUUUUCCACUUCUAUUCAGCUGCAUCAGCUUAAUUCACUGAUUAUUAUUUUUUGUUUUAUCUAUAUUUACCCUCAGCUGUUUCCUUUAUCAUAUGCAGGAUGCUAAAGGCUACGUUUAUUUCAAUUUUGCUCACCCUCAGACAACUAUCCUUUCAGUGGACAUUGCUGCAGGUAAAAUUGAGCUUGAAUUAAAGGCUGUUGUUACAAUGCCAUGGCUCAGACAUUUAUGUUACCCUCUUGUUCAGUAAUGUCCACCGGGCUUCUCUGCCUUGCAAAUUUGUUUUAAAAUUUACUUCAAAUUUCUGCCAGAAUGCAUUUUCAUUUAGUUUUUCCCCCAAAUCAUAUUUUUGUUCAGUGGUGUGACACUUGCCUUGCAUAGCUCAUGCCCUACUGUCUGUGUCAGGAAGUCCCUGCAAAACUUGACAUAGGGAGCUCUGAAGAAAUGCAGUGAGUCAUAUUAGAAAGAACAUCUGGUUCUAGGAGAUC